rnacentral:rRNA from 1 species
CCCAGACUCCUACGGGAGGCAGCAGUGGGGAAUAUUGGACAAUGGGGGGAACCCUGAUCCAGCGACGCCGCGUGAGUGAAGAAGUAUUUCGGUAUGUAAAGCUCUCUUAGCAGGGAAGAAAGAAAUGACGGUACCUGACUAAGAAGCCCCGGCUAACUACGUGCCAGCAGCCGCGGUAAUACGUAGGGGGCAAGCGUUAUCCGGAUUUACUGGGUGUAAAGGGGGCGCAGACGGCAGCGCAAGCCAGGAGGGAAAGCCCGGGGCCCAACCCCGGGACUGCUCUUGGAACUGCGCGGCUGGAGUGCAGGAGGGGCAGGCGGAAUUCCUGGUGUAGCGGUGAAAUGCGUAGAUAUCAGGAGGAACACCGGUGGCGAAGGCGGCCUGCUGGACUGCGACUGACGUUGAGGCCCGAAAGCGUGGGGAGCAAACAGGAUUAGAUACCCCCGUAA